AGUGGCGGACGGGUGAGUAACACGUGAGCAACCUGCCUACUCAGAGUGGAAUAACAGUUGGAAACGGCUGCUAAUACCACAUAACGUUUUUGUGCCGCAUGACACUUCAACCAAAGAUUUAUCGCUGAGAGAUGGGCUCGCGUCCGAUUAGGUAGAUGGUGGGGUAACGGCCUACCAUGCCGACGAUCGGUAGCCGGACUGAGAGGUUGAUCGGCCACAUUGGGACUGAGACACGGCCCAGACUCCUACGGGAGGCAGCAGUGGGGGAUAUUGCACAAUGGGCGCAAGGCCCUGAUGCAGCAACGCCGCGUGCGGGAAGACGGCCUUCGGGUUGUAAACCGCUGUCCUUGGGGAAGAAACAAAUGACGGUACCCAAGAAGGAAGCCACGGCUAACUACGUGCCAGCCGCAGC
rnacentral:rRNA from 1 species